rnacentral:rRNA from 1 species
GACGAACGCUGGCGGCAUGCUUAACACAUGCAAGUCGAACGGAAAGGCCCUGCUUUUGUGGGGUGCUCGAGUGGCGAACGGGUGAGUAACACGUGAGUAACCUGCCCUUGACUUUGGGAUAACUUCAGGAAACUGGGGCUAAUACCGGAUAGGAGCUCCUGCUGCAUGGUGGGGGUUGGAAAGUUUCGGCGGUUGGGGAUGGACUCGCGGCUUAUCAGCUUGUUGGUGGGGUAGUGGCUUACCAAGGCUUUGACGGGUAGCCGGCCUGAGAGGGUGACCGGCCACAUUGGGACUGAGAUACGGCCCAGACUCCUACGGGAGGCAGCAGUGGGGAAUAUUGCACAAUGGGCGGAAGCCUGAUGCAGCAACGCCGCGUGCGGGAUGACGGCCUUCGGGUUGUAAACCGCUUUCGCCUGUGACGAAGCGUGAGUGACGGUAAUGGGUAAAGAAGCACCGGCUAACUACGUGCCAGCAGCCGCGGUGAUACGUAGGGUGCGAGCGUUGUCCGGAUUUAUUGGGCGUAAAGGGCUCGUAGGUGGUUGAUCGCGUCGGAAGUGUAAUCUUGGGGCUUAACCCUGAGCGUGCUUUCGAUACGGGUUGACUUGAGGAAGGUAGGGGAGAAUGGAAUUCCUGGUGGAGCGGUGGAAUGCGCAGAUAUCAGGAGGAACACCAGUGGCGAAGGCGGUUCUCUGGGCCUUUCCUGACGCUGAGGAGCGAAAGCGUGGGGAGCGAACAGGCUUAGAUACCCUGGUAGUCCACGCUGUAAACGGUGGGUACUAGGUGUGGGGUCCAUUCCACGGGUUCCGUGCCGUAGCUAACGCUUUAAGUACCCCGCCUGGGGAGUACGGCCGCAAGGCUAAAACUCAAAGGAAUUGACGGGGCCCCGCACAAGCGGCGGAGCAUGCGGAUUAAUUCGAUGCAACGCGUAGAACCUUACCUGGGUUUGACAUGGAUCGGGAGUGCUCAGAGAUGGGUGUGCCUCUUUUGGGGUCGGUUCACAGGUGGUGCAUGCCUGUCGUCAGCUCGUGUCGUGAGAUGUUGGGUUAAGUCCCGCAACGAGCGCAACCCUUGUUCACUGUUGCCAGCACGUUAUGGUGGGGACUCAGUGGAGACCGCCGGGGUCAACUCGGAGGAAGGUGGGGAUGACGUCAAGUCCUCAUGCCCCUUAUGUCCAGGGCUUCACGCAUGCUACAAUGGCUGGUACAGAGAGUGGCGAGCCUGUGAGGGUGAGCGAAUCUCGGAAAGCCGGUCUCAGUUCGGAUUGGGGUCUGCAACUCGACCUCAUGAAGUCGGAGUCGCUAGUAAUCGCAGAUCAGCAACGCUGCGGUGAAUACGUUCCCGGGGCU